rnacentral:rRNA from 1 species
GACGUAGGGCGCGAGCGUUGUCCGGAUUUAUUGGGCGUAAAGAGCUCGUAGGCGGCUUGUCGCGUCGACUGUGAAAACCCGCGGCUCAACUGCGGGCCUGCAGCCGAUACGGGCAGGCUAGAGUUCGGUAGGGGAGACUGGAAUUCCUGGUGUAGCGGUGAAAUGCGUAGAUAUCUGGAGGAAUACCGGUGGCGAAGGCGGCAUCCUGGACCGGCAUUGACGCUGAUGAGCGAAAGCUAGGGAGCAAACGGG